AGCAGCCGCGGUAAUUCCAGCUCCAAUAGCGUAUAUUAAAGUUGUUGCAGUUAAAAAGCUCGUAGUUGAAUUUCGGGACCAAUAUGCUGGUCGUGCCUUGGUACGUACUGUCAUUAUUGGUUUCUCCCUUCUGAAGAAUCACGAUGCCAUUAAUUUGGUGUCGUGGGGAAUCAGGACUGUUACUUUGAAAAAAUUAGAGUGUUUAAAGCAGGCUCGCGCUUGAAUACAUUAGCAUGGAAUAAUGAAAUAGGACGUUUGAUUCUAUUUUGUUGGUUUCUAGGAUCGACGUAAUGAUUAAUAGGGAUAGUUGGGGGCAUUAGUAUUCAAUUGUCAGAGGUGAAAUUCUUGGAUUUAUUGAAGACUAACUACUGCGAAAGCAUUUGCCAAGGAUGUUUUCAUUAAUCAAGAACGAAAGUUAGGGGAUCGAAGACGAUCAGAUACCGUCGUAGUCUUAACCAUAAACUAUGCCGACUAGGGAUCGGAUGAUGUUAAUUUUUUAAUGACUCAUUCGGCGCCUUAA
rnacentral:sRNA from 1 species